rnacentral:lncRNA from 1 species
GGGGUCAUGGGAUGUGGGGUUAUGGGGGGGUUAUGGGGGACACGGGGAGAUUGGAGGCGAUUUGGGGCCGUUUUCACCACGGUUUUGGGGCCAUUUUCUAUGGGAUUUCGGGGGCCAUUUUGGGGCCACUUUCAAUGGGAUUUUGGGCCAUUUUGGGGCCAUUUUGGGGCCAUUUGGGGCCGUUUCCUAUGGGAUUUCGGGGGCUGUUUUGGGGCCAUUUUCAAUGUGAUUUUGGGGCCGUUUCCUAUGGGAUUUCGGGGCCAUUUGCAACGGGAUUUGGGGUGCAUUUGGGGCCAUUUUGAGCCAUUUUGGGCCAUUUGCAACGGGAUUUUCAUCCAUUUGGGGCCACUUUCAAUGGGAUUUUGGUCAAUUUGGGGCCGUUUUCAAUGGGAUUUUGGUCCCUUUUGGUGCAUUUUGGUGCGUUUUGUGCCAUUUUCAAUGGGAUUUUGGUCCAUUUGGGGCCAUUUCCAACAGGAUUUUGGUCCCUUUCGAUCAAUUUUGGGCCACUUUCAACAGGCCUUUGUUCCCUUUUGUUCCCUUUUGGUCCCUUUUGGUUCCUUUUGGACCAUUUCCAUCAGGAUUUUGGUCCCUUUUGUUCCCUUUUGGUGCAUUUGGGGCCACUUUCAACGGGAUUUUGGUCCCUUUUGGUCCCUUUUGGUGCAUUUGGGGCCACUUUCAAUGGGAUUUUGGUCCCUUUUGGACCAUUUCCAUCAGGAUUUUGGUCCAUUUCGAUCAAUUUGGGGCCACUUCCAAUGGGCUUUUGUUCCCUUUUGUUCCCUUUUGGUCCCUUUGGUUCCCUUUGUUCCCUUUUGUUCCCUUUGUUCCCUUCCUGCCCACCUCCCUUGGGAUUCCGCUGCCCUGGGUUCCCUUUGGUUCCCCUGUGUCCCCUUUUGUCCCCUGUUCCCCCUGUGUCCCCUGUGCCCCCUGUGUCCCCUGCUCCCCCUGUGUCCCCUGUGCCCCCUUUUGUCCCCUGUUCCCUCUUUUGUCCCCUGUUCCCCCUGUGUCC